rnacentral:rRNA from 1 species
AACGCUGGCGGCGUGCCUAAUACAUGCAAGUCGGACGGUCUUUCUAUGGAAGCUUGCUUCCACUGAGAAGAUAGUGGCGAACGGGUGAGUAACACGUGGGUAACCUGCCCAUAAGAGGGGGAUAACAUCCGGAAACGGGUGCUAAUACCGCAUAGUUUUCUUGAUCGCAUGAUCGGGAAAGGAAAGACGGCCUUUGUGCUGUCGCUUAUGGAUGGACCCGCGGCGUAUUAGUUAGUUGGUGAGGUAACGGCUCACCAAGACGAUGAUACGUAGCCGACCUGAGAGGGUGAUCGGCCACAUUGGGACUGAGACACGGCCCAAACUCCUACGGGAGGCAGCAGUAGGGAAUCUUCCGCAAUGAACGAAAGUCUGACGGAGCAACGCCGCGUGAGUGAAGAAAAGGGUUUUCGGAUCGUAAAACUCUGUUGUCAGAGAAGAACAAGUUGGAGAGUAACUGCUCCAGCCUUGACGGUAUCUGACCAGAAAGCCACGGCUAACUACGUGCCAGCCGCAGC